AGGAGCCUGACUUCUUUGCAACAGAACUGGUUGAGAUGAAGGUCUCUGUUGGUAAUAACUUUGCCUGGGAGUGGCAGAGCUGGCCAACCAUGUUCUCCAUGGCUGCUUCUCUUUGUGUCUCAUAACUCUUCUCACAGUCAUCUGAAGCUCGCCACCAUCCUCAAAUCAGAUUCCUGAGAAGUUACAGGUUUAGCCAAUGAGCCUCUAACCCCUGUGUGCUAUCUGCCUCAGACUGCUACCUCUGCUGUGAACAUACUGGCCCACAAAGAUGGUCCUUGACUUCUGCUAGGUGAUCUCACUACUCCAGGGCUGAGAGUGGUGCUUCUCUGUGCUCACACCGCUUAUGCAAGUAGCAUGAUUUAUGUGUGAAACAUAGUUUACACUUUAUUUUAUUUCAAGGAAUCUGGGAAUUUGGCACAUACCAAUCAGAGAGCAGUUGUGGCCAGCCCUAAACAAAAA
rnacentral:lncRNA from 1 species